rnacentral:rRNA from 1 species
GUGCCAGCCGCCGCGGUAAUACCGGCAGCCCAAGUGAUGGCCACUCUUAUUGGGCCUAAAGCGUCCGUAGCCGGCCUCGCAAGUCCGUCGGGAAAUCCAGUAGCUCAACUACUGGGCGUCCGGCGGAAACUACAAGGCUUGGGACCGGAAGGCUCGAGAGGUACGUCCGGGGUAGGAGUGAAAUCCCGUAAUCCCGAACGGACCACCGAUGGCGAAAGCAUCGCGAGAAAACGGAUCCGACAGUGAGGGACGAAAGCUAGGGGCUCGAACCGGAUUAGAAACCCUAGUAGUCC